rnacentral:lncRNA from 1 species
CUGUUGUUGCAUUCUAUAAAAUACCAAACCAUGUGGCAUGAUCAUAUAGUGAGAUGUCUAAACGUUUCCAAAUACUUUUGUUGCCACUCCAUAUGGGGAAUCCAGACAGUAAGUUUGUUAAUAAUAAGCUAUUUAUUUUCUCCCGCGCCAGGUAUUCUAUUGAACAAGAUCCUGCAGGCUGGUUCAGAGUAGACAAAACAACUGGGGAAAUCUUUGUAAAAGAGUCUUUGGACAGAGAGUCAAGUCAUGUGACCAAUGGGACUUAUACAGUCACUGUCCUUGUGACAGAGAAGGGUAAUACAAUAUAACUGUUUUGCAUUAAGCUUGCAAAUAACUGGUAACGACUACAUCUAUCCAUCCAUGUUCGAAAUCGCUUGUCUUAUGUAGGGUCUCAGAGAUGCUGGAGCCUAUUCCAAUGUGCUGGGCUGUAGAAAGAGACAAAACCUACAUAGUUUACAAACUUUUAUCAUCUAGAAGUAUUAUUUUCCAUUUUUCUCUGAUUUUUCACACCAGAUGACCAUCCUCCAAUGACAAGCACUGCUACCAUUCAGAUCCACAUUGAAGACAAAAACGACAAUGUCCCUAUUUUAAAGGAGAACAUGGUUUCUGUCUGUCAGUCUGAUGAAGUGUCAAGUACAGAGAUCACAGCCUAUGACCUUGAUGGAGAUCCUUACAGUGGUCCAUUCAGUUUUGAAAUUAUGGGAGAUCAUAAGAAAGAAUGGAGCUUUGACCCCAGUCAUGGUUACACAGUGCAUUUGGUGAAGGAUAAAAGCAUCCAUGCCAGUCUGAACACAUUGAUUGUGAAAGUCUCUGAUAAACAGGGCAGGUUUGUCCUCCAGAAUCUCUCUGUUGCUGCGUGUGAUUGUGCGGUUUCACCAAACUGUCUGAUGGAGCGCAACACACAGCAAAAAGUGGGAAGUGGCUUGAUAGGAAUUACCAUUCUUGCCGCGCUGAUGAUAUUUGCUUGUCUGUUGCUGUCUCUCGUUUGCUCUUAUGGGCCUGUGAAGUCUCUGGUGCAGGUAGACAAUGUCUUAGAAGAUGCCCUUCUGCCUUCUAACAUCGAGAAACCUGGCUCUGAUUGUGUGGUAAAACCUUACAUUAAGAUUUCUUGCGAAAAGCUAAAUGGCCCUUUCACAGUGAGGUCUAAUACAAAGAUAACAAAUGAAUGGUCUACUCUAUUUUUUUUACAUUCAUAAAGGUCCCGACUAUUCUUUUAAAGAAGGCAUCUGUUAGUCACUCAAAGGAUGCAACUUUUGUCAGUAAUGGGGCUCAACAGACAACUGACAUUCAGGGGGUAUGCUAAACAUUUCUGUUUGUUUCAUAAUGAGAUCUCGGAAACACUAUACAUUUCUUAUAAAACCACUGUCAUUCUUUACACUACAAAUCAUUGUAUUGUAUUCAUUUUGUUUGUUGAUUACAGGUAUCUAGCCAAAUUAUAGCCACUCAUAGUCUCCCAGUUCAAAUGGAUGAGUGCUGGUCUAGAGACAGAUCACAUUAUUCCAGUGAGGUAAUACAACAGUUCAUGUAUGAAAUUGUCCCAAUCAAAUAUCCUUUGAAAGUGAAAGCUCAGUAUUUACUGUAUACUGUCUUCUGUUUCUAAGAAACAGACAUGGAUGUGGAAACAGUAUCAGAGUGAAAACCGCUACCAGGUAAACCUUAAUCAUUUCAUGGCAUGUCUAAAUUUGUUACUGUUCAGUGAAACUAGUGAAAUCUUUAAAUCAGUAAUAUACAUGGGGUUUUCUUACACCCUUAGGGUUCAACAUUUAGCAGGAGGAGCUCACAAAGAAGACAGGGUACCUAUUUCAUCAGCAGCUCAACUCUACAAAGUUUGCUCUCUCAGGUACAUUCGCCUUCAGUUUUCCACCCAGACACGCAGCAGGUCAAUUCAACAUUAAUUCAUCCAUUCAUUCACUGACUAAACAUAUUUCUUUCUCAACUUUCAGAGAUUGCAUUCAAUACAGGGCCUAGAAAAUGAAUUGCUUGAUUACGAACCUCAGCUUUACGCAGUUGAGGACAACUCUGAUCAUUUUGUAGACCUGGACCCCAUAGACCUGCCUAUGAAUGAGUUUGAUCCUGAGCUGCUCUCAGACCUCGGACCAGCAUUUAAGCAUCUGGCUUCUAUCUGUAACCCAGGGACACUGUCAAAACCAGAAGUGAUGAAGAAUGGGAUCAGAUAGUCUAGUGAUGAAGAUGAGGAUGAAGAUGUUUCACCUUCUUAUUCAGGACUGGUCACUUGAAAGCAGAAAGAAAGAAAGAAACCAAUGGAGAGAUUUUUUUAAAUAAAAUUAAAAAAAUUUAAAGAAAAACUGCAG